GCCCGCGUGAUGGAAUGGUAGACAUGAGAGAUUCAAACCCUCUUGCCUCGUGCGUGCUGGUUCAAGUCCAGUCGCGGGUACCA
rnacentral:tRNA from 1 species